rnacentral:rRNA from 1 species
UACGUAGGGUGCGAGCGUUAAUCGGAAUUACUGGGCGUAAAGCGUGCGCAGGCGGUUUUGUAAGCCAGAUGUGAAAGCCCCGGGCUUAACCUGGGAAUGGCAUUUGGGACUGCAAGGCUUGAGUGCGGCAGAGGAGACUGGAAUUCCUGGUGUAGCAGUGAAAUGCGUAGAUAUCAGGAGGAAUACCGAUGGCGAAGGCAGGUCUCUGGGCUGACACUGACGCUCAUGCACGGAAGCGUGGGGAGCAAACAGG